UGGGGAAUAUUGCACAAUGGACGGAAGUCUGAUGCAGCAACGCCGCGUGCGGGAUGACGGCCUUCGGGUUGUAAACCGCUUUUUCUCAUGACGAAGUUUUUUGACGGUAGUGGGGGAAGAAGCACCGGCUAACUACGUGCCAGCAGCCGCGGUGAUACGUAGGGUGCGAGCGUUGUCCGGAAUUAUUGGGCGUAAAGAGCUUGUAGGCGGUUUGUCGCGUCGAUAGUGCAAACUCAGUGCUUAACGCUGAGCCUGCUGUUGAUACGGGGAGAGUAGAGGGAGGGAGGGGAGAAUGGAAUUCCCGGUGGGGCGGUGGAAUGCGCAGAUAUCGGGAGGAACACCGGUGGGGAAGGCGGUUCUAUGGGCGUUUGCUGACGCUGAGAAGCGAAAGCGUGGGGAGCGAAGAGG
rnacentral:rRNA from 1 species